rnacentral:lncRNA from 1 species
GAACCGCCCCUACAAUUAAUUUUUAGAAAAAAAAAUAAAAAUUAGAAUAAUAAAAUUGACAGCCAACACAACACACACAUAUAUAUAUAUAUAUAUAUAUAUAUAUAUAUAUUCACAGCAUGUCUAUUUCUAAUCUAACCACAUCACCACAUUUACAAUUCCAUCCAAAAGUCUGAUAUGUUUCCAAGUCUAUUACAAAUUCAUCACAGUCCAUUAGCACAAGUUCACACGUAAUCAAUGACC